rnacentral:rRNA from 1 species
UACGUAGGCGGAAAAUUAAGUCAGUAGUGAAAUCCUGCAGCUUAACUGUAGAACUGUUAUUGAUACUGGUUUUCUUGAAUAUAGUUGAGGUAGGCGGAAUGUGUAAUGUGGCGGUGAAAUGCUUAGAUAUUACACAGAACACCGAUUGCGAAGGCAGCUUACUAAGCUAUGAUUGACGCUGAGGUACGAAAGCGUGGGGAGCGAACAGGAUUAGAUACCCUGGUAGUCC